rnacentral:tRNA from 1 species
CGGAGUGUGGCCUAGUGGCUUAGGGCGCCUGUUUUGGGAACAGGAGAUCGAGAGUUCAAAUCUCUCCACUCCGA